rnacentral:rRNA from 1 species
UACGGGGGGGGCAAGCGUUGUUCGGAAUUACUGGGCGUAAAGGGCUCGUAGGCGGCCAACUAAGUCGGACGUGAAAUCCCCAGGCUCAACCUGGGAACUGCGUCCGAUACUGGAUGGCUUGAAUCCGGGAGAGGGAUGCAGAAUUCCAGGUGUAGCGGUGAAAUGCGUAGAUAUCUGGAGGAAUACCGGUGGCGAAGGCGGCAUCCUGGACCGGCAUUGACGCUGAGGAGCGAAAGCGUGGGGAGCGAAUAGG